AAGCUGUGGGCCCGAAAAGUCAGUUGCAUACAGGACAAACCGGACUUUGGGGAUAUAAAGCAAGGAUGACACACGGUGAAAGGUAACUCAUAAAUUAUUGCUCUCAAGUCACAAGAUAUUUAUUCCUCCAUUGUUAACCUUGUGAUCGCCUGUACUGACUCUCACGCCGGAGCUAUCCCCCGACGGUCCUAGCCGUCAAGCUUUUUGGUGUUGACUGUGUUUACUGUGCAGGAUCAGGACGUCUUACGUGAUUGGGACGUGGAGAAAGAUUCUGGCGUUAACAUUGGCGCUAGAAGGAGGGGGUGUGUUCUAGUGUUCUUGAAGUUUUCAAUCACAAAUUGUAGCUGCUCUACGUCGGAAUCCAUGGUGAAGAAGAGUAGAACAGUUACCUCUAAAGGAUACCCGAUGGCUAUGACUUCGUCUACACAAUGAGUAUCUGUCAAGGAUUGAUUGGGUCCUUCAAAGAAUGCUCAUGCUGGU
rnacentral:lncRNA from 1 species